rnacentral:rRNA from 1 species
ACCCGCUGAACUUAAGCAUAUCAAUAAGCGGAGGAAAAGAAACCAACAGGGAUUGCCCUAGUAACGGCGAGUGAAGCGGCAACAGCUCAAAUUUGAAAUCUGGCUCUUUCAGGGUCCGAGUUGUAAUUUGUAGAGGGUGCUUUGGAGUUGACUGUGGUCUAAGUUCCUUGGAACAGGACGUCGCAGAGGGUGAGAAUCCCGUAUGUGGCCGCCAGUCUUCGCCGUGUAAAGCCCCUUCGACGAGUCGAGUUGUUUGGGAAUGCAGCUCUAAAUGGGAGGUAAAUUUCUUCUAAAGCUAAAUAUUGGCCAGAGACCGAUAGCGCACAAGUAGAGUGAUCGAAAGAUGAAAAGCACUUUGGAAAGAGAGUCAAAAAGCACGUGAAAUUGUUGAAAGGGAAGCGCUUGCAGCCAGACUUGCCUGUAGUUGCUCAUCCGGGCUUUUGCCCGGUGCACUCUUCUACAGGCAGGCCAGCAUCAGUCCUGGCGGUUGGAUAAAUGCCUGCUAAAUGUACCUCUCUUCGGGGAGGACUUAUAGUUUCAGGCGGCAUACAACCAGCCGGGAUUGAGGUCCGCGCAUCUGCUAGGAUGCUGGCGUAAUGGCUGU